AUCAUAGAACAUGGAACUGUGUGAAGAAGGGAGCAGGCUGGGUUAGAGUCUCACCCCAAAUGAAGAGGCACAGGCUCAAUCUUGGCGGGAGAACAGUGUGCCUGAAGAACCCUUUGGAAGUGGCCCUGCACGCUGCCUCCUUUGAGUGGCUAAAGAUCUCGUCAGUCUGUACACCAGAGCCAAUGGCCACCCUCAGAGGUUGAACAACCCAGGAUGCGCUGCCUCCAGAUCCCAGAAGGCUAUGGGUCCCAGGGGUCAGCUGGGACAGCUCCUCCCUGAAAAGCAGAGGGAUACAAAAGGUCACCCCAAAGGGCAUGCGUGCAAGGCUUCCUGGAUCUUCUGGCGGCAACGAGAAUACUUCUGCAGGAUCUGUCGGAGGUGCUCCUCUUCUUCCCGCUGCAGGAUGCGUAGGAAAUUGUGCAGUUCAGGCAUGCUGAAGGCGUCCCACUGCAAAUGGGCAGAGGAGAGAUAUAUGGGCUACAGUAAGAAAUGGCUAAGUUGGCAGAACCUCUUCAGAGACCGGUGCCUCAGGGUCACACAAUCUAGGAUUGGGCUUCCUGCUAUCACCUUUUUCAUUCCCCAACUAUAUCUAUUUUGGUUUUGUUGUUAUUGAUUUUAA